rnacentral:lncRNA from 1 species
UGGGCUGGGUUAUCUUGUUGCCAGGUAACUGUGGGGAGGAGCUUACCUGGCUAUUGUCAGGUAACUGUGAGGGUGGAGUCUAGCUAGAAUGCCUGGAACUUGGGGCUUUAUCUGAGUGACUGAUAGUCACAGAACUAUGGAGUUGGGGGCUCUGAGGUUUCAGGCACCUGUCUCUGGGAAGGUGGCUCGCUGUUCCAUCCCUUGUAGAGUUUUCUACUGGGUCUCCGGUGCAAGCUUCACUCAACCAAAACAGGCUGUCUUUCACGGUCCCACAGCAUACCACCUUGCUGGGAUCAAAAAGGGCUCUUCACUUUUGUUUAGGAUUAAGUUAAUUCACCUUGAGACAUUAUUCUUUACAGUGUGGCUCUUGAAAUAUGCUACAUUCACACUGAGUAAGAUCUGUUUUGAGCCAGUCUUUGAAGUCUGACCCAUCUGCAUGCUUACCCAGUAUAUGUGCAUACCAGGAGCUUCUGGUAGGCUCUUGGGAAAAGCAACUGUUUUCUCACUGUUGUCAACUCCUCUCCAAUCAACAUACGGCUGCAGGACUUCAAGGCUAAGGCAGCAAGAAAAGAAAUCCUUCCAUAUUCAAGACCGUCGUGCUGCAGCAUUGUAUGGGCCACAUUUCUGUUGCUGAGACAGAAUGCCUUGACAGAAAGGAACUUAGGAAGAUUUGCGCUCCAAGUUCUCUGAUAGAGGUACAAUCUGCCACCAGUUUUCUUCCAGACUACAGCACUCUAUGAAGCAAGAG